UUCCACUGUGUUUAAGAACUGUUGGGCGUGCACGCACACACACAUGCACACACAUACCCCUGUGUUUGUGCUGUUAUUGAUGUCUCAAGCUCACGGUGCUGGUGUCCCCCUGGUUUUUCUUUUUUUCCUUUUCUUUUCUCCAUAGGAAUGGAAUCCCAUUUUUUACAGAGGCAUCUGGCUUAGAGCAGUGUGCAGUUGGCCAGCAAAGGGGUGACUCAAUGCUUGGACCUUACCACUCUCAGCCUCUUGCCUGCUGCUGCCUGUGACCUGAUCAUCACAUGAGGCAUUUUCCUGCCACUCUGUCUCUCUGUCUCUCAGAUGUCUCAAUAAAUGUCUUUCCCCAGAUCUUCUAAAGGGAAGGACCUAGGAACUGAAGCCAGACCCCCACCUCUGCAAGAGUCCCUCGCCGGAGUCACUGAGCGCAUCCCUUUCUCUGGGAUUUGGGGACACGAGACUGCUGAGCACUUCCACCAGAGGGAAAGUGGAAGUGGCCCCAAGAAAGAGGGAGUCACAAAGUUGUCCAGAUGUCAUGUCCCAAACAGUAAGAAAUCAGAAAAACAUAGGGUUGACCAGCUUUUAUUCUUCCUUCUGUUUUGUCCUCCUGGUCAACUGACUUUGACAAAUAUUUCCUGCAUGAAAAUAAUUAAGACAGUGCACACCUUCAGCGAGUUUAAAAGGAGGACGCUGGACGGACAGUAAGUAGUUUGCAAGAUGAAAUUAAGGGCUGUGAAAAAACAAUACUGAAUAGGGAAAGUACUUGAGAGUUGUUAGUUGGCUUAAGGAGUCUAGAGAGCAGUAGUAAUUCAG
rnacentral:lncRNA from 13 species